AGGGUUCGAUUAUGGCUCAGGACGAACGCUGGCGGUGCGCCUUAUGCAUGCAAGUCGAGCGAAGCUUUUCAGUAGUUUACUACAGAAAAUGACUGAGCGGCGAACGGGUGAGUAACGCGUGAGCAAUCUACCUUAGUUACAGGGAUAGCCCGAGGAAACUCGGAUUAAUACCUGAUAUUCUUUAUUUCUCGCAUGAGAAUAAAAGGAAAGGUCAGCCGAACUAAGAUGAGCUCGCGUUCUAUCAGCUAGUUGGUGAGGUAAAAGCUUACCAAGGCUACGACGGAUAGCUGGUCUGAGAGGACGAUCAGCCACACUGGGACUGAGACACGGCCCAGACUCCUACGGGAGGCUGCAGCAGGGAAUAUUGUGCAAUGAACGAAAGUUUGACACAGCGACACCGCGUGUGGGAUGACGGAUCUAGGUUUGUAAACCACUUUCAGGAGGGAAGAAAAUGACGGUACCUCCACAAGAAGCCCCGGCCAACUACGUGCCAGCAGCCGCGGUAAUUC
rnacentral:rRNA from 1 species